rnacentral:rRNA from 1 species
UACGAAGGGAGCUAGCGUUGUUCGGAAUCACUGGGCGUAAAGCGCACGUAGGCGGAUGUGUCAGUCAGGGGUGAAAUCCCGGAGCUCAACUUCGGAACUGCCUUUGAUACAGCACAUCUGGAGUCCGGAAGAGGUGGGUGGAAUUCCUAGUGUAGAGGUGAAAUUCGUAGAUAUUAGGAAGAACACCGGUGGCGAAGGCGGGUCUCUGGACAGUUCCUGACGCUGAGGCACGAAGGCCAGGGGAGCAAACGGG